rnacentral:rRNA from 1 species
UGGGGAAUUUUGGACAAUGGGGGCAACCCUGAUCCAGCAAUGCCGCGUGAGUGAAGAAGGCCUUCGGGUUGUAAAGCUCUUUUGUCAGGGAAGAAACGGUAGUAGCGAAUAACUAUUACUAAUGACGGUACCUGAAGAAUAAGCACCGGCUAACUACGUGCCAGCAGCCGCGGUAAUACGUAGGGUGCAAGCGUUAAUCGGAAUUACUGGGCGUAAAGCGUGCGCAGGCGGUUUGGUAAGACAGAUGUGAAAUCCCCGGGCUUAACCUGGGAACUGCAUUUGUGACUGCCAGACUAGAGUGUAGCAGAGGGGGGUAGAAUUCCACGUGUAGCAGUGAAAUGCGUAGAUAUGUGGAGGAAUACCGAUGGCGAAGGCAGCCCCCUGGGCUAACACUGACGCUCAUGCACGAAAGCGUGGGGAGCAAACAGGAUUAGAUACCCGGGUAGUCCCUGAGCGGGCUGGCAAGGCGCAU